rnacentral:rRNA from 1 species
CGGACGGGUGAGUUACGCGUGAGAAUCUAACUUCAGGACGGGGACAACAGUUGGAAACGACUGCUAAUACCCGAUGUGCCGAAAGGUGAAACCUAAUUGGCCUGAAGAAGAGCUUGCGUCUGAUUAGCUAGUUGGUGGGGUAAGAGCCUACCAAGGCGACGAUCAGUAGCUGGUCUGAGAGGAUGAGCAGCCACACUGGGACUGAGACACGGCCCAGACUCCUACGGGAGGCAGCAGUGGGGAAUUUUCCGCAAUGGGCGAAAGCCUGACGGAGCAACGCCGCGUGAGGGAGGAAGGUCUUUGGAUUGUAAACCUCUUUUCUCAAGGAAGAAGUUCUGACGGUACUUGAGGAAUCAGCCUCGGCUAACUCCGUGCCAGCAGCCGCGGUAAUACGGGGGAGGCAAGCGUUAUCCGGAAUUAUUGGGCGUAAAGCGUCCGCAGGUGGUCAGCCAAGUCUGCCGUCAAAUCAGGUUGCUUAACGACCUAAAGGCGGUGGAAACUGGCAGACUAGAGAGCAGUAGGGGUAGCAGGAAUUCCCAGUGUAGCGGUGAAAUGCGUAGAGAUUGGGAAGAACAUCGGUGGCGAAAGCGUGCUACUGGGCUGUAUCUGACACUCAGGGACGAAAGCUAGGGGAGCGAAAGGGAUUAGAUCCCCCCUGUAGUCA